rnacentral:sRNA from 1 species
GCCAGGUACGGUGUGGGUACCUGUAAUCCCAGCUACUCAGGAGGCCGAGGCAGGAGAAUCACUUGAGCCCAGGAAGCAGAGGUUGUAGUGAGCAGAGAUUGCACCACUGCACUCCUGCCUGGGCAACAGAGUGAGACUCCGUCUCAA